CUACGGAGGAUGCGAGCGUUAUCCGGAUUUAUUGGGUUUAAAGGGUGCGUAGGCGGUUUAUCAAGUCAGCGGUGAAACGCAAGGGCUUAACCCUUGACCUGCCGUUGAAACUGGUGGACUGGAAUGCGGAUGCUGUGGGAGGAAUGUGUGGUGUAGCGGUGAAAUGCAUAGAUAUCACACAGAACACCGAUUGCGAAGGCAUCUCACAAAGCCGGUAUUGACACUGAGGCACGAAAGUGUGGGGAUCAAACAGGAUUAGAUACCCUGGUAGUCCUCACUGUAAACGAUGAUGACUCGCUGUCGGCGAUAUACAGUCGGUGGCCAAGCGAAAGCGAUAAGGCAUCCACCUGGGGAGUACGACCGCAAGGUUGAAACUCAAAGGAAUUGACGGGU
rnacentral:rRNA from 1 species